rnacentral:lncRNA from 1 species
GGCCCGAGCCUGAGUGCCCCACAUGUGCUGGGGUUGGCUGCCCUGGCCGUGCACCUGGGUGAGUCCAGGUCUGCGCUCCCAGAGGUGGAUGUGGGUCCUCCUGCACCUGGUGCUGGCCUUCCUGUCCCUGCGCUCUUUGACAGCCUCCUGACCUGUAGGACGAGGGAUUCCUUGUUCUUCUGCCUGAAGUGAGCUCUUCUUCCACAGUCGCGUCUUCUCUCCUCUCUCUCGAAAAGUGACACAUGCUCGUUUGAUAAAAUUAGAAGAGACAGACAUGCAGACAUACCACCCAAAGAUAACCACUUUUUAGCAUUUUGAUUUUGUACAGCAGCAAUUUCUUACUCUCUCUGCAAGUUUUCUUCCCAGUCACGAGAUACUUUGUGCAGCUGCUUAUCUCCAGGCCUUAUUAAAAA